rnacentral:misc_RNA from 1 species
GGUGAACCCCACUACCAUCUCUCGCCAUUUUUCGACUGCAGUGAGGAAAGGAGAGUACUAACAAGUACCACAACGAUUGUCGAAAUGAAGAGUAGCAAUCAGACAUGGGAUCCAUUGGUUGAGGAGUUCACUUUUGCAGCAAAUUCAGCUCCGUUCAGUAAUUGUCAUGCUUCGACUAUUGUUGAGGUGAAUAAGGAUCAUUUCUUGGUUGCUUAUUUCGGUGGUACAGUAGAGGGAGCUCCUGAUGUGAAAAUUUGGGUACAAACUUGUAAGGAUGGCCAUUGGACUGCUCCUGUUAUUGCCGAUGAGCAAUUUAAUGUUCCAAUGUGGAAUCCUGUACUGUUUAAGCUUCCUUCCAGUGAAAUACUCUUAUUCUAUAAAAUCGGGCAAGAGGUACAGAAGUAAGUAUAUUCAGGCUUCCUUCUUCUUUUUUAUCUAGUGGCUAAAUCAUAUUAUGUAGAUAUCUGAUCAGACAUAGACAUCCAUAAGAUUGUUUAAGCUUUUAAUAUUUCAUAGAAUGACGCGACGUGGUAUUGUGCGCAACACGAACUUAUUAAAAGAAGGAUACAAUUUGGGAGUACAUUCACAAGCAUAUAUAGACUUGUAUCUGUCAAACAUUUUCAGCAUCUCAGUAGAAAAUUAAAAGGAUGUGUCAUGGUACUUACGUUCCAUCAUUAUAGUGAAACUUGAAGAACUGAGAUAACUUUUUGAUAUUAUGAUGCCAUGAAAUAUUACGAGUGUUAGGGGAAAAUCAAAUUAGUAGACAUAAAUUCUCAAAUUAAAAUUCUAUAUCAAGAUGAAGUUAUUC